GUAGGGGGCAAGCGUUGUCCGGAUUUAUUGGGCGUAAAGGGCUCGUAGGCGGCUUGGCAAGUCGGUCGUGAAAUUCCGGGGCUCAACCCCGGAACGCCGAUCGAAACUGCCAUGGCUUGGGUCCGGUAGAGGAGUGUGGAAUUCCCGGUGUAGCGGUGAAAUGCGCAGAUAUAGGGAGGAACACCACUAGCGAAGGCAGCACUCUGGGCCGGUACCGACGCUGAGGAGCGAAAGCGUGGGGAGCGAACAGGAUUAGAUACCCUGGUAGUCCACGCCGUAAACGAUGGGCACUAGGUGUGGCGGAUCGAUUAACGUCCGCCGUACCGUAGCUAACGCAUUAAGUGCCCCGCCUGGGGAGUACGGUCGCAAGGCUA
rnacentral:rRNA from 1 species